rnacentral:rRNA from 1 species
UAGGGAAUCUUCCGCAAUGGACGCAAGUCUGACGGAGCAACGCCGCGUGAGUGAAGAAGGAUUUCGGUUCGUAAAACUCUGUUGUUAGAGAAGAACAGCGCAUUGAGUAACUGUUAUGCGUGUGACGGUAUCUAACCAGAAAGCCACAGCUAACUACGUGCCAGCAGCCGCGGUAAUACGUAGGUGGCAAGCGUUGUCCGGAUUUAUUGGGCGUAAAGCGAGCGCAGGCGGUCAAUUAAGUCUGAUGUAAAAGCCCCCGGCUCAACCGGGGAGAGUCAGUGGAAACUGGUUGACUUGAGUGCAGAAGAGGAGAGUGGAAUUCCAUGUGUAGCGAUGAAAUGCGUAGAUAUAUGGAGGAACACCAGUGGCGAAGGCGUAUCUCUGGUCUGUAAAUGACGCGGAGGCUCGAAAGCGUGAGUAGCAAACAGG